UACGGGGGGGGCAAGCGUUGUUCGGAAUUACUGGGCGUAAAGGGCUCGUAGGUGGCCAACUAAGUCGGACGUGAAAUCCCUCGGCUUAACCGGGGAACUGCGUCCGAUACUGGUUGGCUUGAGUUUGGGAGAGGGAUGCGGAAUUCCAGGUGUAGCGGUGAAAUGCGUAGAUAUCGGAAGGAACAUCAGUGGCGAAGGCGACUUCCUGGACCAAUACUGACGCUCAGACACGACAGCAUGGGGAGCGAACGGG
rnacentral:rRNA from 1 species